AACCCCUGUGAACAUACCUAUACGUUGCCUCGGCGGAUCAGCCCGCGCCCCGUAAAACGGGACGGCCCGCCCGAGGACCCCUAAACUCUGUUUUUAGUGGAACUUCUGAGUAAAACAAACAAAUAAAUCAAAACUUUCAACAACGGAUCUCUUGGUUCUGGCAUCGAUGAAGAACGCAGCAAAAUGCGAUAAGUAAUGUGAAUUGCAGAAUUCAGUGAAUCAUCGAAUCUUUGAACGCACAUUGCGCCCGCCAGUAUUCUGGCGGGCAUGCCUGUUCGAGCGUCAUUUCAACCCUCAAGCUCAGCUUGGUGUUGGGACUCGCGGUAACCCGCGUUCCCCAAAUCGAUUGGCGGUCACGUCGAGCUUCCAUAGCGUAGUAAUCAUACACCUCGUUACUGGUAAUCGUCGCGGCCACGCCGUUAAACCCCAACUUCUGAAUGUUGACCUCGGAUCAGGUAGGAAUACCCGCUGAACUUAAGCAUAUCAAUAGGCCGGAGGAA
rnacentral:rRNA from 1 species